rnacentral:lncRNA from 1 species
AGCAAUGAAAACAGUACAAUUUGCGGAAUAUAAAACCAACAUAGCCCGACGUCGGGGUGUCACCAGUCAUGACCAUAUAUCAUAACAACUACAAGUCUUAAACAGUCUACUCAACUAUUACAUAACCAAAAAAGAAGCAAAUGAGAUAGAUGGAGAAGCACUGGGCUGCGAUCGCCAAGCAGCUACCUAGUGAAUCUCCGAAGUCUGCUGGAAGCUCUCAACCCUCGCGAGCAGGACCUGAAGCACCGGAACUGCACAUGGGGUGCAGGGAGUAAAGUGAGUACUCCAACUCAGUGAGUAAUAAUAAUAAAUGCAGAAUGAGAAAUAAGAAAUCACGUAAAGGCACAUCAACAAGCUAUAAAGAAAACAGUAAAAGCCAGUAAAUAUAAUGAAACAGUGAAAAUGUGUAAAGUCACUUUAGUUUAGUUUAAGCUUCUUUAGAAUGCCUUUUUAACAGCUAAGCAAGUAAAUGACAGGUAACUAGAAAAGAUAAACACAUAAAUAACCGCCCCUCGGGCUCAAUAGUAACAGAAUCAGCCCCUCGGGCAACACAUGGAACAACACCAGCCCCUCGGGCUAUAUCUCAAAUCACAAUGGGUACCCGCACUCACUGGGGGUGUGCAGACUCUUGGAGGGGCCCCUUACGGCCCAAGCGCAAUAUCAAGCCAUCUCGUGGCAUAAUCACAUAGAUUCUCGGCCUCAUAUCAACAAGGCACCUCAUGACGUACAAUCUCAGGCCCUCGGCCUUAUAAUCAUAAUCAAUGUAUCCUUACAACCCAGGCCCUCGACCUUACUCAAUCAAAAUCUCAUAAGCAACUCGGACAACAGUAAAACAUGAUGUUCCGCCCAAAUUAUCAUUUAAUAUAUUAAAACAGAGUAGACAUGGCUGAGUUAUAAAAACAGUAGAUUAUAGCAUGACUGAGUACAAGUAUAAAGUCAAAACGGUGAGGAAAUAUCAGUAAAAGAUCUCUUAAGGGUCCAAAUAGUUGGCACGAGGCCCAAUUAUGGCAUUCAGCCCAAAACAUGAUGAUAGCAAAUAGUUUUCAAUCAAAUACACCGUAAAAUAGUCAUUUGGGAUGGACUAAGUCACAAUCCCCAGCGGUGCACGACCCCACGCUCGUCAUCUAGCGUGUACGUCACCUCAAUAUAGCAAAACGAUGUGCAAUCCGGGGUUUCAUACCCUCAGGAAAACAUUUACAAUCAUUACUCACGUCAAUCUGGUCCAAACUCUAUCCUGCGAUGCCUUUUCCCCUCGAAUCGGCAUCCACUCGCAUCGAAUCCAUCAAAUUCGAAUCGGCCUCGAAUCGGCAUUCAGCCCAAGGCGACACACUAGGUCGAAUCAAUCCCUUAUCAAGGAUUUCCAGAAGCUGCUCCUUUAACUCCUUCAACUUCGCCGGUGCCAUCCAAUACGGUGGAAUAGAAAUGGCCUGAGUGCCCGGCACCAAGUCAAUCCAAAAUUAAUAUCCCUGUCUGGUGGCAUGCCCGGCAGGUCUACAGGAAAUAUAUUAGGAAAAUCCCUCACAACUGGAACUGAAUCAAUACUGGGAGUCUCUGUACCGACAUCCCUCACAAAGGCUAGAUACGAAACACAACCCUUCCCAACCAUAUGCUGGGCUUUCAAGAAUGAGAUUACCCUACUGGAAACAUAAUCAGUUAAACCUCUGCACUCAAUCCAUGGCACACCCGGUAUAGCCAAUGUGAUUGUCUUGGCAUGACAGUCCAGAAUAGCACGACACGGUGAUAGCCAAUCCAUGCCCAAAAUAACAUCGAAAUCCACCAUACAUAAUAACAAAAGAUCCACUCGGGUCUCCAAACCCCUAAUAGUCACCACACACGACCGGUACACACGGUCUACAACAACGGUAUCGCUCACCAGAGUAGAUACAUGAACAGGUGAAACAAGAGACUCAUAGGGCGUACCCAAAUAACAAGCAAAGUAUGAUGACACAUAAGAAAAGGUAGAACCAGGAUCAAAUAAUACAGAAGCAUCUCUGUGGCAGACUGAGACAAUACCUGUAAUAACAACAUCAGAAGCAAUAUCAUCGGGUCUAGUUGGAAGUGCAUAGAAAUGGGCCUGAUCACCACCUGAUCGACCUCCCCCUCUAAAGCGACCCCUAGCUGACUAACCUCCACCCCUAGCUGGCUGGGUAGGUGGUGAUAAACUAGCUGGCGAUGAAGCCGAUGGCUAACUCCUCUACUGAGAUGAACCCGCAAGACGACGAGGACAAUGCCUCUAUAUAUGACCCAUCUCUCUAAACAGAUAGCAACUCCCAGGUGCUGGAGAUGGGGAUAGAAGGGAACCCCUAGCACCGGGAUGACUAGCAGAUGCACCUAGCAUAGAAGAGCCUUGAAUUGAUGGAGCACGGGAUGAACUCUUAGCUGGAAGAGCACUAAGUGAUGAUUGGCCCUGAUGAGAACUGUGAGAACCAUGACCCAAUGAUGCCCCACGAUAACCUGGGCGAGCUGGCUGAGCAUGCCUGAANNNNNNNNNNNNNNNNNNNNNNNNNNNNNNNNNNNNNNNNNNNNNNNNNNNNNNNNNNNNNNNNNNNNNNNNNNNNNNNNNNNNNNNNNNNNNNNNNNNNNNNNNNNNNNNNNNNNNNNNNNNNNNNNNNNNNNNNNNNNNNNNNNNNNNNNNNNNNNNNNNNNNNNNNNNNNNNNNNNNNNNNNNNNNNNNNNNNNNNNNNNNNNNNNNNNNNNNNNNNNNNNNNNNNNNNNNNNNNNNNNNNNNNNNNCUCGAGGCCUCUUGGCCUCCCUCUCCUCUCGCUCCCAGCGACGAACUGACUCAAUCUCACGAGCAAUGUCCACAACCUCCUCAAAAGUAGAACCAGUCACCCUCUCUCUGGUCAUGAGAAUACAAAGCUAAUAAGUUAGGCUAUCAACAAACCUCCUAAUCCUCUCUCUAUCUGUCGGAACCAACCAAAUCGCAUGGCGAGUUAACUUAGAGAACCUCAUCUCAUACUGCGUCACAAUCAUCUCUCCCUGAUGCAACCACUCGAACUGCCUGCGCAGCUCCUCUCUACGAGACUACGGCAUAUACUUCUCCAAAAAGAGAAUGGAGAACUGUUUCCAGGUAAGGGGUGCUGCACCAACAGGCCUACGCCUCUCAAAAGCCUCCCACCAAGUGAAGGCAGCUCCAUAAAACUGAUAAGUAGUGAAAGCAACCUCGUUGGUCUCCAGAAUACCCGUUGUACGAAGCAUCCUCUGACACUUAUCCAAGAAACCCUGGGCAUCCUCACCCUCUGCACCACUAAAAGUCGGAGGCUGAAGUCUGCCAAACCUCUCCAACCUACGCUGCUCGUCCUCUGGCAUCGCAGGAACUACAUAGUCCUAAGUAGUUGCAACUGUCUGGGUUGGUUGCGCCCCCGGUGUCUGAAGUCCCUGCAUGACCUGCUCAGGUGUGCGAGCGGCGGGAGUCUAAGUGCCUCCUCCAGCCUGAGAAGUAGCUGCGACUGUAGUAACUGAGACCGCCUGAGCUAGGCCAAUGCAUACUGACAUAAUUUAAGCCAAGGCCUCCUAAAGACCCGGAAUCACAAUGGGCACAACUGGUGCCUGAACUGGUGCUACUGGAGCAUCCACAGCUAGGACCUGAUCCUGAACUAGGGCGGCUGAUGGAUCUGCAAGUUCUGCCCUAGCUGUUGUGCGGGCCACACCCCUACCCCUACCGCGACCACGACCGCAUCCUCGGCCUCUAGUGGCCACAACUGGUGGUGCUAGUGGUCGUCCAUCCUGACCGGUAGGACGUGUCCUCACCAUCUGUGAGAGAAUAGAAUAAUAGAAGUUUAGUACUCGGAUCAACAGAUUCGCAUGACAAGAAUUUCAAGAAUAUGAAGCUUGUCCUAAAGGUUCUACAGCCUCUCAAGGAUAAAUACAGACGUCUCCGUACCGAUCCGCGAGACUUUACUAAACAUGAUCAUGACUCGUGACACCUAUGUAAUCUAGGCUCUGAUACUAACAUGUCACGACCAUAAACCCAGACUCGGUCAUGAUGGUGCCUCUCAUACAUACAAGGCCAGCCGACACAACACCCAAUUCCUUUUAGCAAUUGAAAAUACACAAAUUAAGUCUUUAACACGAUAAAAUCUCAAUUAAGCAGUGAAAACAAAACAAUUUGCGGAAUAUAAAACCAACAAAGCCCGACAUCGGGGUGUCACCAGUCAUGAGCAUCUAUCAUAAGAAAUACAAGUCUUUAAAGAGUCUACUCAACAAUUACAUAACCAAAACAGAAGAAAAUAAGAUAAAGGGAGAAGCACUAGGCUGCGAACGCCGAGCAGCUACCUAGUGAAUCUCCGAAGUCUACUAGAAGCUCUCAACCCUCGUGAGCAGGACCUGAAGCGCCUGAAUCUGCACAUGGGGUGCAGGGAGUAAAGUGAGUACUCCAACUCAAUGAGUAAUAAUAAUAAAUGCAGACUCGGAAAUCACGUAAAGGCACAUCAAUAGGAUAUAAAGAAAACAGUAAAAGCCAGUAAAAAUAAUGAAACAGUGAAAAUGUGUAAAGUCACUUUAGUUCAGUUUAAGCUUCUUUAGAAUGCCUUUUUAAUAUCUAAGCAAGUAAAUUAUAGGUAACUAGAAAAAAUAAACACAUAAAGAACCGCCCCUCAGGCUCAAUACCAACAAAAUCAGCCCAUCGGGCAACACAUGGAACAACACCAGCCCCUCGGGCUAUAUCUCAAAUCACAAUGGGUACCUGCGCUCACUGGGGGUGUGUAGACUCCUGGAGGGGCCCCUUACGGCCCAAGCGCAAUAUCACAUAGGCUCUCGGCCUCAUAUCAACAAGCCACCUUGUGGCGUACAAUCUCAGGCCCCUCGGCCUUAUAAUCAUAAGCAGUGUAUCCACACAACAUAGGCCCUCGGCCUUACUCAGUCAAAAUCUCAUAAGCCACUAGGGCAAUAGUAAAACAUGAUGCUCAGCCCAAAUUAUCAUUUAAAAUAUCAUUUAAUGUAUUAAAACAGAGUAUACAUGGAUGAGUUAUGAAAAUAGUAGAUUAUAGCAUGACUGAGUACAAGUAUAAAGUCAAAACGGUGAGGAAAUAUCAGUAAAAGAUCUCCUAAGGGUCCAAAUAGUUGGCACGAGGCCCAAUUAUGGCAUUCAGCCCAAAACAUGAUGAUAGCAAAUACUUUUAAAUCAAAUACUAGGUAAAACAGUCAUUUGGGACAGACAAGUCACAAUCCCAAAUGGUGCACGACCCCACGCUCGUCGUCUAGCGUGUACGUCACCUUAAUAUAGCACAACGAUGUGUAAUCCGGGUUUUCAUACCCUCAGGACAACAUUUACAAUCAUUACUCACCUCCAUCCGGUCCAAACUCUAGCCCGCGAUGCCUUUGCCCCUCGAAUCGGCGUCCACUCGCAUCGAAUCUAUCCAAAUCAUAAUCAUGACGUCAAAAUAUGCUAAAGCAACGAAGCUCAUGCGAAAAUAAACAAGUUAUAGCAUAAAUCCCAAAAUUAACCAAAACCCGACCCCCGGGACCAUGUCUUUGAAUAUGAUAAAAUUUACAUCAAUAGAUUCCGUAUCUCCCCACGAGUUCAUACAUAUCAAAAGUCUAAAAACCAACCGCAACUGGCCAUUCAAAUCCUCAAGUCUAGGUCUCCAAUACCAAGCCCUAGUUUCCCCAAUUUUAACCCUUAAAUUCCAUUAAUUACAGCUCUAAUCCGUGAAAUAAUACCACAUUAUCGAUUAUUAGACUUGAAAAUCUUACCUCCAGACGAUAUCCCUUGAUUCCCUCUUCAAAAUCUCCCAAAAAGCUCCAAAACCGACUUGAAAUGGUGACGAAUAACUCAAAAAUUGCGAAGGAUUACUUUUAUACCUUCUGGCCUAGGGAUUCUGCACCUGCGGCCAAUUUUUUGCUUCUGCGGUGCUGCUUUUGCUGUCCCAAGCACCGCAUCUGCGGUCCUCACUUAAGUCCUCCAAUUCCACAUCUGCGAUGUCCAAUCCGCACUUGCGCCAUCGUAGGUGCGGUUCCUUAACCGCUUCUGCAAUUCCUGCCUCCCUUGCUUUCUUCCGCAUCUGCGACUCCCAAACUCACUUAUGCGAGACCUCACCUGCGGUCCCCUUGCCGCAGGUGCGGUUAUGAUAGCAAAUGGCACAUCUUCAGCUGCCAAAACCAAUUUCCAAACUUUCCGCGAACCAUCCGAAAUCACCCCGAGGCCCCCAGGACCUCAACCAAAAGCACAAAUACACCAUAUACCACCAUCCAAACUUAUAACAAUCUUCAAAACACCUCAAACAACCUCGAAUAAACCAAAACACAUCGGAUUCAAGCCUAAGUUUCCAAAAUCUUCUGAAUUACACUUUUGAUCAAAAAGUAUAAUAAACCAUGUUCAAAUGGCCUGAAAUUUUGCACACAUAUCCCAAAUGACACAACGGUCUUACUACAACUCUCGAAAUUCUAUUCCAAGCCCUAUAUGAAAAUCUCACCUAUCAACCGGAAAAUGCCAAAAUACCAAUUUCGCCAAUUCAAGCCUAAAUCUACUAUGUACCUCCAAAACACAUUCCGAUCACGCUCCUAAGGCUCAAAUCACCUCCCGAAGCUAUCUGAACCAUCAGAACUCACAUCUGAGCCCUCUAACACAUAAGUCAACAUCCGGUUAACUUUUCCAACUUAAGCUUCCUCAAAAGAGACUACGUGUCUCCAAAGAAAUACCGAUAAACAAAGAAAUAAGAAGCAGAAAUACGGGAAACGGAGAGGUAACUCAUGAGACGACUGGUCGGGUCGUUACAAUAUUCCUUAUAGAUUUCGAGAUAUAAGCUUCCAACGUAGGCUCCUCACAUCAAAAAUUUCUGGAAAAAUUACAAAACAACUUUACUAGUCUUUAUUCAAUCGAUCAUAACUUUCUGUACAAAUGAUCAAAUGAUGAAUGGUUUAGCUUUCUGGAAACUAGAAUCAAAGCACUACAACUUUCAUGUUUUGCAAAUUUUCAGAUUCCUUAGAGAUUUCGAGAUAUAAGCUUCCAAAAUAGACUCCAUGAUUGCACAGUUGUUGUCCAAAGACAGCUGCUGCUGCUGAAAAUUCCAGCAGCCUCUUUUGCUCGAAAUCUAUUUCGUUAACCUUCUGAAAUCCACCCGAGACACUAGGAACCUUAACCAAUUAUACCAACAUGUCCAAAAGUACAAUACAAACUUAAUGGAGGCUUCAAACCACGUCAAACAAUGCCGAAAUUAUGAAUCGUGCGCAAAUCUUCCAACUUCUACAUUUUGCGCAGAAACAUAUCAAAUCAAUCCGGAAUGACUUCAAAUAUUGCACAUAAGUCAUAAAUGACAUAAUGGAUCUUUUUCAAUUUUUUGAAUCGGACUCCGACCCCGAUAUCAAAAGUCAACUCUCGGUCAAACUUUCCAAAAAUCUUCUAAACUUUUGCCAAAAUGCGCCGAAUCAUCCUACGGAUUUCCAAAUCCAAAUCCGAGCAUGUGCCUAAGUCUGAAAUUACCAUACGAAGCUAUUGGAGUCAUCAAAAUUUUAUUUCAGAGUCGUUUUCUCAAAAGUCAAAUCUCUGGUCAAACUUAAGAAAUCUUUAGCAUUAGAUCUCUAGAUUUAGUUAAAUGGCAAUAAUCUGAGUCGGGGACCUCCGAAUUCAAUUCCGGGCAUACGUCCAAGUCCCAAAUCACAAUACGGACCUAAGGGAACUAUCAAAACACUAAUCCAAGUCUAUUUGCUCAAAAUGUUGACCGAAGUCAACUCGGUUGAGUUUUAAAGCUCAAUUCACAUUUUAAUCCAUUUUUCACAUAAACACAUUCCGGAAAAUUAUACGGAUUGCGCAUGCAAGUCGAGGAAUGAUUAAUAACGCUUUUCAAGGUCUUAAAAUAGUGAGAUGAUUAUUUAAUUUGAAGAUGACAUUUUGGGUCAUCACAUUCUCCACCUCUAAAAUAAAUGUGCGUCCUCGAACGUACUAAGAAUUAUUCUGAAGUUACCAAAUUGAUUAAUUUACUUUUAUACAUAUACUCACGGUUGACCCCAUGUUACCGCAUUCGACAUAAGUCCGACAACACCAUUUCAAUUGAGAUUAUUUCCUUUAUCCAUAUUUGUAAACUUUAAGACCAAAUUUCGUACACUCCGAAUAUUUUCAAAAAGGUCAGAUUUUCAAAUCAACACAAGAUAUGAGUCUUGACUGGCAAUAACAACCCGUGCCUACGCACACAUCAACUUUUUAAUAGUGCUUAACUACUUCAAAAAAAUUUUGGGGUGUUACAUUCUACCCCACUUAGGGUCAUUCGUACUCAAGUGAGAAGUAGAGUCCAUCCUUAAAUACAUAAUGUAGUUUAUCUCUUUCUUCGCAUAUCUUGAUGUCCCAAUUUUUUUUAAACAAUUUCGGCAGUGCCUCCCUUGUAAUUGGGCAUAUCCACCUAUCAGAGUAACACCAAAACAACUCCUAACAACAUAUUCACAACCCAACAAAGCACCACAAUGUAUAUAUCAAUAACACUAAUCUCUGCAUUACAAGCACGGCAUUAUCAUAGUGAUAUCUUGACAUGAAACACAUCAUAUGUAUGACCAUAACCACAUCUCGGGUUUUAAUAGUUGUUCAUAAUAGAUUACAACAUCGCCAAUUAACCUCAUGUUAAAAAAAAUCUCAUUUCAAAUCUCCACUUUACUAACAACGAGACAUGAAAACCUAAUAAUUACCUACCCAAAAUAACGAGUCACAAUUUAACGUCACCUGGGCACUCACCUUGUAGGCUAAAACUCAAUAAUUACAAUACAAAUUUGGCAAAUUAUGCACAGAGAUAUUCAUACAAGAAUUUUCAAAUGAGCCUAAUAGGCAUGACUCCUUAUAAAUACUAUAGUACAAAUUUUAAUUUCACAAAGGGAGCAUUUAAACACAUAAUUUUUUUCCACCAUAAGGACCUCGUCCUUAUAUAACAUCCUCCGUAGCUUGUGGCCCGGUUUAAAUAUUUCACAUUAUAUAAAAAUACGAGGAUAUCAUCCUCAACUCUGUUUCACAAGUAAUAUGCACAUCGUGCCAAAUCGGAACAUUCCAUUGUCUUCUUUUAAAUAAUUUUCGUUAAACAAAAUCACAACAUAUAAUGAACCCUCAUAUCGGUAGGGCAUAUAAUUCACAAUUGAAAUUAAUUAUCUGAAAAUUACAUCAACGUACCGAAAUAAUUAACAAAAGUUAUUCUUAGCCUCACAACUAUUUUUAGUGACCAACACAUAAUGAUAGGCAUACCUAUCUCCAUAUAAUCUCACAAUAGGAGUGUUCUCAUAAGUAGAUUUCAGGGGUACGAAGCUCACUCAUGAGUGGAGCAUAUUAGAAGGAUUUUCCUCGAUACUCAUAACCUAACCAAGUUAAGAAAAUUGUCACUUUAUAAUAAUCUGAGAUCGUACUUGUAGCGAUACCGUCUGGUAUAGCAACCUCAGCCAUGCCAUAGAAAAUAUAUCAACGGACUGGGUCUCCACUUGUAGGAUUCUCACCUCCACCUCUAACAUCCUGACCUCUACCUCUGGCUGGUCAUGUAAUUGGAGUAGUAACUACAAUAAGGCACGUAGCCUGAGUGCUUUGAUAAAAUAUGUCUCUCCCAAGUCUAGGACAAUUUUCUCAUGAUGUUCCUAGUACCACCACAUUCAUAUCAAUCCCUUUGAGGGUUCAAUGGCUUAUACUGAGUCUGUACUAGAUAACUGGAAUAACCAUUGUACGGCCCUCGUGUCAGUAGUACAUUAAAAGAACUUACUGGAGCACCCCGAGUUGUACAAAAUUUCAAGAUCAUAAUUGAGUUCUUUAAUGAGUUCGUUGACUCUCUCUCUCUUUUUGGAUGUAGGAACCAAAGUAGGAGUAUGAUGGCUAACCUAUUGAACCUGAUGACAUGUUCUGACACUGUCAUAGUAACCUGAUGCAACCAUUCAAACCCUGUGUGCCACACAUUACAGAGAAUCGUGGAAAUAAACUCUUUCAAAAGCAUUUCUGAGAAUUGAGAUGAGUAGGUGGUGUUGCAUUCGCUGGUCUGCCCUCUUCAUAGGCUUGCCACAAACACCGGCUGCUAAUUUCCUCUUUUCCUAUGCGGGCUUAACACUGUUGAGCUACCCCAUUUAUGCAUAUACUCUUCGUUAUUCUUUGGGAUAAUUCUUACCCCUAUUUAUGCACAACGAUCACAAAGGUAAAUCUCUAUACAGAUAAAUCUUGGCACAAACCACAUAGUCCAGAAGGUCGUCUACCACUAUACUUCCUCCGAAGCACCCCAAAAUCUGCAACCGUGACUUCCAUGCUGAGUAGACCUUCUAUAAAUUUAAAGUUGAUUCUCUAACUCUUUUGGUACUGAAGUAAUUGAUUAUUAAGGAGGCAGACGUACCGUAAGUCCCAAUCCUAUCCCUUGCAAAAUAUAAGGCAUUAAAUAUGUGUGUAUUAUUGGGGAGCCUGUUACAUCUCACAUUUUCGUAUGUUAAAAUUUCAUUUUUAGUUAACCAAUGUGGACCCGAGGACAAGAUCAUCUUGACGUUAACGUAUUUACGCUAUUUGUAACUAGCAAUAAAUAAGUAUUAUGAAGGAUAAAGGGGUACACGAAUUAAAAAAACGAGUUUUCGUCGAAAGUGGCCAAUUUGGAAUAAAAUAUGGGUCGAGCAAUAAUACCCAAUAAUUAUGAACUAGUAUCAUGCAAGGUACCAUAUGACCACUAUAGUAUAAUGUGUAAAGUAUAUAUAUAUAUAGUAUAUUAAAAAUAAAUUAAAUUUUAAGUAAUUUGGAGCAAUUUUUAAAUUAUGUGGGUAAUUGGUUAAUUAUCGGGUAACGGGACAUUACCCGAUUAACUAAUAAGUGGCUAAGAACUUAAUAAUUACCACCCCACACACACACAAAUACGUGGAAAGAAGCCACCAAGUCAAGAAGUAACUAAGUAGUCACUUAUGCCUAGGUGGCAACUUGAGCAUAAAUAAGAUGGCUGACUAACCAAGUCAUCUGCUAAAAUCCAAUGUGAAUCAAAAGUGAACCCAAAAAAUGUUAGUCUUUCCAAACUUUAAAGAAACAAAAACGUUAUUCAACUCAAGUUCUCAAGGAACCAAAAAAUGUUUCCUCUCAGUUUCAAGGAAACCAAAAUUGUUAUUUCGUUCCAAAAUUUUAGGAGCCAGAAACAAUUUUCGCCCAUGAAUUUCUAAGAAGUAGAGGAUAAUUUCGUUCAAUCAACGAAGGUUUUCCAACGAAAUAAUAUACGGAGUUUUCUCUACUCCAGGUAUAUUAAGGCCCUCUCUUCUUUCUUUUAGCAUGGUCCAAAUUAUACUAAAGAAACGAGCAAACACACAGUUUUCAUAAAUUACUGUAACGACCCGGCCGAUCAUUUUAAGAAUUUGUGCCCUGAUUCCCUAUUAACUGAUUUCCCUGUGUUUUUCUGCUAUUGUGAGUUGCCGGGAUGGUUUAUUUUGAGUUUCGAAGAGUUUUGGGACAUUUAGUCCAUAAAUGAGAGCUUAAGUUUUGGAAAUUUGACCGUAGUCGGAACAGUAUGAAGAUGGCCUCGAAAUGAAAUUCUGAUGGUUCUGUUAGCUCUGUUGGGUGAUUUCGGGUAUAGGAGCAUGUUCGGAUUGUGUUUUGGAGUUCCAUGGCUAAUUUAGGCUUGAAAUGCCGAAAGUUGAAUUUUUGAAAUUUUUGGUUCGAUAGUAAGAUUUUGAUCCGAGGGUCGGAAUGAAAUUCUGAAAGUUGGAGUAGCUCUUUAGUGUUGAAUGUGACGUGUGUGCAAAAUUUCAGGUCAUUAGAACGAGGUUUGAUGGACUUUUUGAUUGAAAGCGUAAUUUGAGAGUUUUUAAAAUUCUUAGGCUUUAAUCCGAUGAAAAAUUGGUGUUUUGAUGUUGCUUUGAGCAUUUCGAAGAAUGGAAAAAGUUUGAAUGAUGUUUCAAGAUUAGUUGGGUUUGGUUGAGGUCUCGGGGGCCUCGGGUGUAUUUCGGAUGCUCAACGGGUCAUUUUGGAACUUGUUGGAAUUCCUGAACUGCUGGUAUUUGGUUUUCUUAUAUGCGAUUGCAAUAAUGGGGCGGCGAUCGCAUAGGUUUGUUGGUGAGGUGGCAGAAUUGGUGCUAUGCGAUCGCCAGGAUUGGUUCGCGACCACGAAGUGAGAGGAUCCAAAGCAGUAUGGUCGCUUGAUGUUGUAUGCGAACGCAUAGUGUGGGCGUAUGUGGCAGGGUUUUAAAAGCCCAAUCCGCGACCCUUCUUCAUUUUCCACCAUUUUUGAAUGGGAUUGAAGCUUUUGAGGGAGAUUUUUGAGGAAACCAAAGAGGAAUUACUUGGAGGUAACAUUUUUGACUUCAUAUCUCAUUUAUAUGUGAUUAAAGUUCUAAUUAGUGGUGAAAAAUUAGGGAAAAAUCAGUGCAAAAUGGGUAACUAGGGCUUAAGAUUAAGAGACCUUAAAAUGGGUAUUUGAGGGGUCAAUUUAACUCUGAUUUCAGUGUUCUUGUUAUGUAUAGACUCAUGAGAGUAUGAGGAUUCUUAAAAUUUAAAUUUUACCCGAUUCCGAGAUGUGGGCCUGGGGCAUUUUGGUCAUUUUACCUAAUUUUGCGUAUUAUCUUAGAAUUUAUUUGUAGAAUUAGUUACUUAAAGUGUUAUUUACAUUAUGCAAUUGAAUUGAAUAGAUUUGGGCCAUUUGGAGUCGAGUACUCGUGGCAAGAACGUAGUUUCUGAUUGACUUUGAUCCGGUUCGAGGUAAGUGACUUGCCUAACCUUGUGUGGGGGACAUUCCCCUUAGGAUUUGGUAUUAUUGAUAAUGGAAAUGCCUUGUACGUGAGGUGACAAGUGCGUACUUGUGCUAAUUAUUGAAAAUCCGGUUUCCAUUAAGUAUUUACUAGUAUGUUUCUUUUCAUGUGUUAUACUACUUGCAAUUUAAGCCUGUUGUUAGCUUAGGAAAGCAUGUCUAAUUGACUUAAUUGCCUUACUUGCUCAAACUGCCUUAUUUGGAUUACGUGCAGCAUGCUAGGUUAGAAAUACCUGUUUUACCUUGGUAUGGAACUUGAAUUGAAAUGUGUACUCUUCUUGUUGUUGAUGUGUGUUUACUUUGGGACUACGGGACAGUAUCCCGGGAGAUCCCCCUGUAUGUUUACUUUGGGAUUACGAAACGGUAUUCUGGGAGAUCCCCCUGCACAUUUACAUUGGAACUACAGGGUUGCACCCGGUAGAUUCCCCCUGUACUGAGUAUUUACAUUUGGGACUACGAAUCGGUAUUCCGGGAGAUGCCCUCGUAUUAUGAGUUGGACUACGGGACGGUAUCCCGGGAGAUCCACUGGAUAUUUAUAUUUGGGACUAUAGGACGGUAUCCUGGGAGAUGCCCGGUUGUUAUAUUUGUGUUGAGUUAUAUUUCUUUCCGUGUUUACUUUGCCUCUGUAGUAAUUGUUGUUAUCCUUUAUAUCCUGUGUUACUUUUACUGUUGUACUUAUUUAUACUAUUUUAUUCUACAUUGUUGAACUUUAUAUUUUAUUUAACCUCGGUAGGGCCCUGACCUUCCUUGUUACUACCCGACCGAGGUUAGGCUUGGCACUUACUGAGUACCGUUGUGGUGUACUCAUGACCUUUCUGCGCAUGUUUUUCCUGUGCAGAUCCAAGUACUUCCACUCAGACUUAUCACGCUUGAGACGAUACGCUUGUAGAGACUCCGAGGUAUAUCUGCUGUGUCCGCAGACCGAAGAGUCCCUUUCUACUCUCUCUUUUUGUAUUAGCCCUUCUGUACUUUUGUUUCUUUGUUAGACAUUCUGGAGUUAGAUGCUUGUAGACAUUCAAAGGCUUGUGAUCAUGAGAUUCUGGGUUUUGGGAAAUGUUAUUAGCUUCGAGAGUUGUUAUUGUGUAUGUUGAGCGGCAUUUUAAAUACUAUUUUAUUUUACUAUUUCGAUUUUUAUAAUUGUUCUUCUGCAAUUAUUUUUUAUAUUCUGUAUUUUUAGGCUUACCUAGUCGUAGAGAAUAUGUGCCAUCAUCAUGGUUCAUACGGGGCGAACCGGUAUCGUGACAAGUUGGUAUCAGAGCUAUAGGUUCAUAGGAGUCAUGAAUCACAAGCCGGUUUAUUAGAGUCUCGCUGAUCGGUACGGAGACGUCUGUACUUAUCUGCGAGAGGCUAUGUAACUGUUAGGAAAAUUCCACUUUAUUUGAUUUCCUUGUCGUGCGAGAUUUUGAUGUCGCAAUUCUAAACUUAUGUCUUCUAUUCUCUCACAGAUGGUGAGAACACGUGCUACCCGAGAUGAUCAGGCACCCGCGCCCCUUACUGCAGCCGUCAGAGGCCGAGGUCGGGGUAGAGGCCGAGGACGUGCAUGUGGUGCAGCUAGAGCACCCGUACGAGCUGCCAGCGAGGUACCACCAGCAGUUCUAGCUGAAGUCCAGGCACCUGAUAUGCCUACUGUUACUAUUACUCCAGCUCUUCAGGCGACUCUUGCGCAGUUCAUGAGCAUGUACGCCACUUUGACUUAGGCAGGGUUGCUUCCCCUUGAUGCAGCCACAUCUUAGGCCGAGGAAGGAGCACAGACUCCUGCCGCCCACACUCCUAAGCAGCGAGUGCAUAUUGAUUAGGUCCUAGGGAUUAUUCCUGUAUAGCCUCUACUCCCAAGUCUGCCUGAGGAUAGGGAAGCGACUUCAGAGGAUGAGCAGCGGAGACUUGAGAGGUUCAAGAAGUAUGAUCCUCUUGUAUUCAGUGGGUUAGCAUCAGAUGAUGCCUUGGGAUUUCUAGAGGAGUGUCAUCGUAUCCUCCACACUAUGGGUAUAUCAGGAUCGAGUGGGGUUUCUUUCACUACCUUUCAGCUUCGAGAAGUUGCCUAUGAGUAGUGGCGCACCUAUGAAUUAGACAGUCCGGAUGAAGCAGCUUCACUAACUUGGACUCAGUUUUCAGAUAUGUUCCUGAGAGAGCUUAUUCCUCAGAGCCUCAGGGACGCAUGUCGUGUAGAGUUUGAAUAUUUGCUCCAGGGUACUAUGACUGUCUCGGAGUAUGCUGUCCCUUACACUAGAUUGGCUAGACAUGCCCCAGCCUUGGUUUCUACUGUUCGCAAGAGGGUUCGUNNNNNNNNNNNNNNNNNNNNNNNNNNNNNNNNNNNNNNNNNNNNNNNNNNNNNNNNNNNNNNNNNNNNNNNNNNNNNNNNNNNNNNNNNNNNNNNNNNNNNNNNNNNNNNNNNNNNNNNNNNNNNNNNNNNNNNNNNNNNNNNNNNNNNNNNNNNNNNNNNNNNNNNNNNNNNNNNNNNNNNNNNNNNNNNNNNNNNNNNNNNNNNNNNNNNNNNNNNNNNNNNNNNNNNNNNNNNNNNNNNNNNNNNNNNNNNNNNNNNNNNNNNNNNNNNNNNNNNNNNNNNNNNNNNNNNNNNNNNNNNNNNNNNNNNNNNNNNNNNNNNNNNNNNNNNNNNNNNNNNNNNNNNNNNNNNNNNNNNNNNNNNNNNNNNNNNNNNNNNNNNNNNNNNNNNNNNNNNNNNNNNNNNNNNNNNNNNNNNNNNNNNNNNNNNNNNNNNNNNNNNNNNNNNNNNNNNNNNNNNNNNNNNNNNNNNNNNNNNNNNNNNNNNNNNNNNNNNNNNNNNNNNNNNNNNNNNNNNNNNNNNNNNNNNNNNNNNNNNNNNNNNNNNNNNCCUGAUGUGUUUCCAGCUGAUCUUCCGGGCAUGCCUCCCGAUAGAGAUAUCAAUUUUGGCAUUGAUCUGUUGCUGGGUACUCAGCCCAUUUCUGUUCCUCCGUAUCGUAUGGCUCCUUCUGAGUUGAAGAAGUUGAAGGAUCAGUUACAGGAAUUGUUUGAUAAGGGUUUUAUUAGGCCAGUGUAUCACCUUGGGGUGCUUCUAUCUUGUUUGUGAAGAAAAGGGAUGGUUCUAUGCGUAAGUGUAUUGAUUAUCGCCAGUUGAACAAAGUUACAGCGAAGAACUGUUAUCCUUUGCCUCGUAUUGAUGAUUUGUUUGACUAGCUUCAGGGCGCAUGGGUGUUUUCUAAGAUUGACUUGCGCUCAGGUUACCAUCAUUUGAAGAUUCGGGAGCCAGAUAUCCCAAAGACUGCUUUCAGGACUCGAUAUGGUCAUUACGAGUUCCUUGUUAUAUCAUUUGGGCUGACCAAUGCCCUAGCAGCCUUUAUGCAUUUGAUGCACAGUGUGUUCCGGCCGUAUCUUGACUCGUUCGUCAUUGUCUUUAUUAAUGAUAUUAUGGUAUAUUCCCGGAGUCGGGAAGAUCAUGAGCAGCACCUGAGGACAGCACUCCAGACUCUAAGGGAAAAAAAGUUAUAUGCUAAGUUCUCGAAAUGUGAGUUUUGGUUGGAUUCCGUGGCAUUCUUAGGUCACGUGAUAUUCUGAUGUUACACCUAACAAGAAGUACCAUAGUAAAACUUCUCAAUGCCGAUGUAAAGAGAACGGGGAGCAUAAAAUAGAGGCGGUCACAGGAUUAGAAGGUGGCAAGGGCGCAUAAGCGGAUUGCUCGAUCAAUGCUCCCAUCAGAUGUCUUAAGAGUUUCUAAUAAAAUAUAUGACGGUCUUCAACGCGCGCGCACACACAUAUAUAUAUAUAUCCAAAAUACUUGUCGAGGUUAACGGGACAGGUGACCCCUCUCCUCAACACAUAGGACCACCUCUGGCAGAACACUCAUAAUAAAUAGAAGUAGUAUAUUAAAAUGAGCAAAAUCGUCAGAAAGGGGCAGAGACAAAGGGGUGCUUCGUCAGAAAAGAAGGUAUGCAUAGGCAUUCAUAAAAGACAGUAUUUUAAGGGUUUGAACAAAUUUCAGGCGUAUCAUGUGGUUUGGGCGAGGAAAAGACAGAGAAACCAACAAAACAAAUUGAAAUAGUCAGAAAAUAGUGAAUCAGGAGAUACAAUCCACUAGACAAGAGAGAAGGGAAGCCAUAAUAAUAAUAAUAAUAAUAAUAAUAAUAAUAAUAAUAAUAAUAAUAAUAAAUUCCAGGUGAUUAUGUCAUGAAGGGAGGUUUGGAGCAACGGUUAAACAGUCUCCAUGUGAUCUACAGGUCACGGGUUCGAGCAGCGGAAUCAGCCCUAUCUCCAUGUGAUCUACAAGUCAAGGGUUCGAGCCGCGGAAUCAGGCAUUGAUACUUGUAUCAGGGUAAGUUACCUAUGUUACCUCCUUGGAGUGCAACCCCUACCCAGCGUGACCGUGGGAGCACCUGACUACCAUUUGCCAGGUGAUUAUGUCAUCUUAGCAAUUUUAAGUAGCUGAAAAUAUUUUUUCGCCGAAUCCUACUAUGCCCACAAAAAAUGAAGUUGAUGUUUAUUUUGUUUGUCCUGUUUGCAGUCGCUGGCUUGAGGUUAAAUUGACCAAAAGAAAAAAAAACUAUUACCUAGAAGAUACCUAUUAACCGCCUCUAAGCAGAAUACAUUUGCAAAACAGGAAGCAAGCGACAUGUAAGAAUAAAAAAAUAUGAGCCAAGCAAAGGCAACCAACAUAUCCCUACACAAAAAUAAAUAAAUACUGAACUUGAACUUGAUAGCCAAGAUCCCAUGAUAUGGGAUAAUACUAGGUAUGUUAUUAUUGAACUUGAUGGUGGAGAGACAGAUAAUUUAGAAACUGAUAAAAGAACAAAUAAUGGAAUUGGGUAUGUAACAGCUAUAUAUAGGGGCAAAGCUUACACGAUGAGAGACGAGAAUAACACGGGAGUGGCGUUUCAUCAAAUACUGAAUGGCUGGAAGAGCGUCUA